UUGAAGAGUUUGAUCAUGGCUCAGAUUGAACGCUGGCGGCAGGCCUAACACAUGCAAGUCGAGCGGUAGCACAGAGAGCUUGCUCUCGGGUGACGAGCGGCGGACGGGUGAGUAAUGUCUGGGAAACUGCCUGAUGGAGGGGGAUAACUACUGGAAACGGUAGCUAAUACCGCAUAACGUCGCAAGACCAAAGUGGGGGACCUUCGGGCCUCAUGCCAUCAGAUGUGCCCAGAUGGGAUUAGCUAGUAGGUGGGGUAACGGCUCACCUAGGCGACGAUCCCUAGCUGGUCUGAGAGGAUGACCAGCCACACUGGAACUGAGACACGGUCCAGACUCCUACGGGAGGCAGCAGUGGGGAAUAUUGCACAAUGGGCGCAAGCCUGAUGCAGCCAUGCCGCGUGUGUGAAGAAGGCCUUCGGGUUGUAAAGCACUUUCAGCGGGGAGGAAGGCGGUGAGGUUAAUAACCUCAUCGAUUGACGUUACCCGCAGAAGAAGCACCGGCUAACUCCGUGCCAGCAGCCGCGGUAAUACGGAGGGUGCAAGCGUUAAUCGGAAUUACUGGGCGUAAAGCGCACGCAGGCGGUCUGUCAAGUCGGAUGUGAAAUCCCCGGGCUUAACCUGGGAACUGCAUUCGAAACUGGCAGGCUAGAGUCUUGUAGAGGGGGGUAGAAUUCCAGGUGUAGCGGUGAAAUGCGUAGAGAUCUGGAGGAAUACCGGUGGCGAAGGCGGCCCCCUGGACAAAGACUGACGCUCAGGUGCGAAAGCGUGGGGAGCAAACAGGAUUAGAUACCCUGGUAGUCCACGCCGUAAACGAUGUCGAUUUGGAGGUUGUGCCCUUGAGGCGUGGCUUCCGGAGCUAACGCGUUAAAUCGACCGCCUGGGGAGUACGGCCGCAAGGUUAAAACUCAAAUGAAUUGACGGGGGCCCGCACAAGCGGUGGAGCAUGUGGUUUAAUUCGAUGCAACGCGAAGAACCUUACCUGGUCUUGACAUCCACAGAACUUUCCAGAGAUGGAUUGGUGCCUUCGGGAACUGUGAGACAGGUGCUGCAUGGCUGUCGUCAGCUCGUGUUGUGAAAUGUUGGGUUAAGUCCCGCAACGAGCGCAACCCUUAUCCUUUGUUGCCAGCGGUUAGGCCGGGAACUCAAAGGAGACUGCCAGUGAUAAACUGGAGGAAGGUGGGGAUGACGUCAAGUCAUCAUGGCCCUUACGACCAGGGCUACACACGUGCUACAAUGGCAUAUACAAAGAGAAGCGACCUCGCGAGAGCAAGCGGACCUCAUAAAGUAUGUCGUAGUCCGGAUUGGAGUCUGCAACUCGACUCCAUGAAGUCGGAAUCGCUAGUAAUCGUAGAUCAGAAUGCUACGGUGAAUACGUUCCCGGGCCUUGUACACACCGCCCGUCACACCAUGGGAGUGGGUUGCAAAAGAAGUAGGUAGCUUAACCUUCGGGAGGGCGCUUACCACUUUGUGAUUCAUGACUGGGGUGAAGUCGUAACAAGGUAACCGUAGGGGAACCUGCGGUUGGAUCACCUCCUU
rnacentral:rRNA from 1 species